AACCAGCUCUUCAAGUGGUCGGGAAUUUUAUUGGGCUUAAAGUGUCCGUAGCCGGUUUGAACAGUUCCUGGUUAAAUCUGGUAGCUUAACUAUCAGUCAGCUAGGAAUACUAUCUUACUAGAGGGUGGGAAAGGUCUGGGGUACUUCAGGGGUAGCGGUGAAAUGCGAUAAUCCUUGGGGGACCACCAGUGGCGAAGGCGCCAGACUGGAACACGCCUGACGGUGAGGGACGAAAGCCAGGGGAGCGAACGGGAUUAGAUACCCCCGGUAGUCCUGGCCGUAAACGAUGCGUGCUAGGUGUUGGUAGGGCUAUGAGCUGUAUCAGUGCCGUAGGGAAACUGUUAAGCGCGCCGCCUGGGAAGUACGCUCGCAAGAGUGAAACUUAAAGGAAUUGGCGGGGGAGCACCACAAGGGGUGAAGCCUGCGGUUC
rnacentral:rRNA from 1 species